rnacentral:rRNA from 1 species
UACGUAGGUGGCAAGCGUUGUCCGGAUUUACUGGGCGUAAAGGAUGCGUAGGCGGACAUUUAAGUCAGAUGUGAAAUACCCGAGCUUAACUUGGGUGCUGCAUUUGAAACUGGGUGUCUAGAGUGCAGGGGAGGUAAGUGGAAUUCCUAGUGUAGCAGUGAAAUGCGUAGAUAUUGCUAAGAACACCAAUGGCGAAGGCAGCUUGCUGGGCCACUCCUGACACUGAGGUACGAAAGCGUGGGGAGCGAACAGG